AAAUUUGGCCUACGGCCACGCUAAAAUUGUCCACAGCUCAGAAACUGUGGCCACAUAUAUGAUUUAGCCAUGAUUAUCAAAGCGUAGACGUAUGUUAUAGAAAUAUUGAAUCCGGAGUGUAAAACUGUGGCCUGUAUAGCGGUAGAUAUUUUAAGCCGCAACUAAGAAACCGAGGCCUAUAAUUUUCAGUUCAAACUGUGGCCAAAACCCAAAAAAAAAACCCUCCAAAAGUUCCCUCCUUUUUUUUUAGUUUCCCUCUAUCUUUUAAUAUUUUCUUUUCUAUUUUUUUUAAUUAAAAAAAAGAAAAAAAAUGAAAGAACAAAGGCAUUGAAACGAGCCAUAUGAACAAAAACACUCACACUAUCUGAAAACUCCAUCUCCCAAAACUAUCUGAAAACUCUUUGCCGUUGCGCCGCUGCUGCCACCUCCAUCGCUUACAGGUUAGUUUCUUCAUCUUCAUCUCUGCUUUCAUCUCUGCUUCACCUUCAUCUCACUAACCUCAAUCAUCUCACGAACCCUAACCCUCUUCAUCUCACGAAUCCUAACUCUCUUCAUCUCACGAACCCUAACUCUCUUCAUCUCACGAUUCUCUGUUCGUGUUCCUCAUCUUCUCUAUCGUCUCCUCUAAUUUUGUUUGGACCUAAUAUAUAGUUUGUUUUGCAGUUGAGGUACCAAAGCUUUUGGAGGCUUCCUCUAUUCAUCUGCGUACGAUUAUCUGGCUUCUGGAGGCUAAUACGGGGAGGAAUAUUCUUGAAACAGAUCAUCCAGAAGGUCCUUUUGGCACUAAGCUCAAUUCCCUCAAAGGAGACGAAGGAAAGCGACAACUCCAUUUUAUUUGUGUGUGACUCCAUUUCUCUGUUUUAAGAAAAUGAAGAAGGUUUCAAACUUGCAAAAGAAGACGGCUGCCGCACAAAAGGGUGAACAAGUUACCGCCAAUUUUCGGUUGCCUCUAUUUAGAUCCAGUGCUGAAUUGGCUAAGAAGUAUGAUAUCAAAUGCG